UACAGGGCCACCCAUUGAAAAAAUUGUACAUGUAUAUUUAUUGCGCAGAAAAACGUGCGCUAGUUUUGGACUGAUUUACCUUAUUUAUACGCAAAUUCUGUGAAAACAUUAGUACCAUUAAAUUCUUCAUGCAAUUUACUACUGAUAUCGACUCUUUAUUUGCCUCAGACUUUCUCCGAAACACGCUACCGACCUCGGAAAAUCAAGUAUGUUGAAUUUACAUCGAGAUCGAGAGUCGCCAUUUUUACAUGUAAACAAAAUGGACCACAUGAAUUUACGGGACUGGUGAUGGUGUUUAAAAGACUAUCCGAGGCAAGUGAAGAGAGGAUAUCAGUAGUAAAUUGCAUGAAGAAUUUAAAAUUAAAAGCGGUGGGAGUCCUAAGCUUAAAGCAGACUCUUGUUACCACAUGGCUUUUACCUGUUGAUUCUUGUGGUUUCAGCUCUUGAGGUUAACCUGUCACCUCUACCCACAUGCAUAUUCCCUGUGUUCUACAGACUAUCUACCGGUAAUUCAAAUUAAAUCGGAUAAUGCAUGAACAAUAAUGGAACUUUAAGAAAGCAUCAUGUCCUAUUGUGGUUUGUUCAUGUUUGAUAAGAAAUUAUGAAAAACAAAAUUAAGGCUGUUUAAAGAAAUAUAAUUGUUGUGAAAAUUUGUUUUUCAAUAAAAGUAUGCAAUUAUA